UGAUUCUUGAGUAGGACUUCCUUC
rnacentral:miRNA from 1 species